rnacentral:rRNA from 1 species
GACGAACGCUGGCGGCGUGCUUAACACAUGCAAGUCGAGCGGUAAGGCCCUUUCGGGGGUACACGAGCGGCGAACGGGUGAGUAACACGUGGGUGACCUGCCCUCAGCUCUGGGAUAAGCCUGGGAAACUGGGUCUAAUACUGGAUAUGACUCCACGGUGCAUGUCGUGGGGUGGAAAGCCUUGUGCGGCUGAGGAUGGGCCCGCGGCCUAUCAGCUUGUUGGUGGGGGAUGGCCUACCAAGGCGACGACGGGUAGCCGGCCUGAGAGGGCGACCGGCCACACUGGGACUGAGACACGGCCCAGACUCCUACGGGAGGCAGCAGUGGGGAAUCUUGCGCAAUGGGCGAAAGCCUGACGCAGCGACGCCGCGUGAGGGAUGACGGCCUGGU